UGGGGAUUAGCUCAGUGGUAGAGCGCUUGCCUAGGAAGCGCAAGGCCCUGGGUUCGGUCCCCAGCUCCAG
rfam:Rattus norvegicus chromosome 2, whole genome shotgun sequence.